rnacentral:lncRNA from 1 species
UCGGUUGAGUUAGAAACAUGCUCUAGUGCUUUGGAUACACCAGAGCAGGACGGAGAAGCCAUAGAACAAUAGAUUUGAGAGGAUCUGAAGGAGAACCAUCGAGGUCAGUCUUUAAAGCUUCAAACACCUAAGGUCUAACAGUGAAGGUGGGUGAGUACAGGCCAUCCAUGGCCUGAGAUGCCAUGUAUUCCUAUGGAAUAACGGUUGAAAGGGUGGAAGUCGACUAGGAUUUUGAAGAACUUUGAGAGAGUUUGAGAGAC